rnacentral:rRNA from 1 species
GUUGAACGCUGGCGGCAGGCCUAACACAUGCAAGUCGAACGGUAACAGGAAGAAGCUUGCUUCUUUGCUGACGAGUGGCGGGCGUGUGAGUAAUGUCUGGGAAACUGCCUGUUGGAGUGGGAUAACUACUGUAAACGGUAUCUAAUACCGCAUAACCUCGCAAGUCCAAAAAGGGGGACCUUCUGGCCUCUUGCCAUCGGAUUUGCCCCGAUGGGAUUAGUUAGUAGGUGGGGUAACGGCUCACCUAGGCGACGCUCGCUAGCCGGUCUGAGAGGAUGACGAGCCACAGUGGAAGUGAGACACGGUACAGACUCCUACGGGAGGCAGCAGUGGGGAAUAUUGGAAAAUGGGCGCAAGACUGAAGCAGCCAUGCCGCGUGUAUGAAGAAGGCCUUCGGGUUGUAAAGUACUUUCAGCGGGGAGGACGGGAGUAAAGUUAAUACCUGUGCUCAUUGACGUUACCCGGAGAAGAAGCACCGGCUAACUACGUG